rnacentral:tRNA from 1 species
CCUCUUGUGGCGUAGGGGUAACGCGCCUUAUCUAGAGAACAGGAAGUCGUGAGUUCGAAUCUCACCGAGAUUG